rfam:Cephalotus follicularis DNA, scaffold: scaffold2208, isolate: St1.
CAGCAUGAUAGGGACAUUUUCUGAUGAGAUCCUUUAAUCUUUCCCAUGAAUCAUGGAACUGCUCACCAUCUUGUUACGAAAAGCUAGUGACAGCUCGUCUUAUCUG